GCAUAUCAAUAAGCGGAGGAAAAGAAACCAACAGGGAUUGCCUCAGUAACGGCGAGUGAAGCGGCAAGAGCUCAAAUUUGAAAGCUGGCCCCUUCGGGGUCCGCAUUGUAAUUUGCAGAGGAUGCUUCGGGAGCGGCCCCCAUCUAAGUGCCCUGGAACGGGCCGUCAUAGAGGGUGAGAAUCCCGUCUGGGAUGGGGUGCCCGCGCCCGUGUGAAGCUCCUUCGACGAGUCGAGUUGUUUGGGAAUGCAGCUCUAAAUGGGUGGUAAAUUUCAUCUAAAGCUAAAUACUGGCCGGAGACCGAUAGCGCACAAGUAGAGUGAUCGAAAGAUGAAAAGCACUUUGAAAAGAGAGUUAAACAGCACGUGAAAUUGUUGAAAGGGAAGCGCUUGCGACCAGACUCGCUCGCGGGGUUCAGCCGGCCUUCGGGCCGGUGUACUUCCCCGCGGGCGGGCCAGCGUCGGUUUGGGCGGCCGGUCAAAGGCCCUCGGAAUGUAACGCCCCCCGGGGCGUCUUAUAGCCGAGGGUGCCAUGCGGCCAGCCCGGACCGAGGAACGCGCUUCGGCUCGGACGCUGGCAUAAUGGUCGUAAGCGACCCGUCUUGAAACACGGACC
rnacentral:rRNA from 7 species